rnacentral:rRNA from 1 species
GUGAGGAAUUUUCCGCAAUGGGCGAAAGCCUGACGGAGCAAUGCCGCGUGAAGGAUGAAGGCCUAUGGGUUGUAAACUUCUUUUCUCAGAAAAGAAUUAUGACGGUAUCUGAGGAAUAAGCAUCGGCUAACUCUGUGCCAGCAGCCGCGGUAAGACAGAGGAUGCAAGCGUUAUCCGGAAUGAUUGAGCGUAAAGCGUCUGUAGGUUGUUUAAAAAGUAUUCUGUCAAAGAUUAGGGCUUAACCCUAGAUAGGCAGAAUAAACUUUUAAGCUAGAGUUUGGUAGAGGCAGAGGGAAUUCCCGGUGGAGCGGUGAAAUGCGUAGAUAUCGGGAGGAACACCAAAGGCGAAGGCACUCUGCUGGGCCAAUACUAACACUGAGAGACGAAAGCGAGGGGAGCAAAUGGGAUUAGAAACCCCUGUAGUCC